UACGGAGGGAGCUAGCGUUAUUCGGAAUUACUGGGCGUAAAGCGCACGUAGGCGGCUUUGUAAGUCAGAGGUGAAAGCCUGGAGCUCAACUCCAGAACUGCCUUUGAGACUGCAUCGCUUGAAUCCAGGAGAGGUGAGUGGAAUUCCGAGUGUAGAGGUGAAAUUCGUAGAUAUCGGGAGGAACACCAGUGGCGAAGGCGGCUUUCUGGCCUGUUCUUGACGCUGAGGCGCGAAAGCUAGGGGAGCAAACGGGG
rnacentral:rRNA from 1 species